AUGGAGCCGGCGCCCCCGCCACGCGCUCCCGCCGCCGGCCCGGGGGCUCACCUCGCCGGUUCCGCUCCGCCCGGCCCAGCCAUGGGGCCCGCGCCGGCCACUGGGGGGCGCCUCGGCUCGGCCUCGCGGCCCCGCACGUCCCGGGGCCCCCCGGCCGCUGCGGACUCCCUGCGGGAGGCGCCUCCGGCACCGACGGACGCCCGGGACGCGCGGCUCCCCGGCCGCCCCGCAGCCCGCAGCCCGCAGCCCGGAGCCCGCAGCCCGCAGCCCGCAGCCCGCAGCCCGCAGCCCGCAGCAGCCGCGCGUCUCGGCCGAGCGCGCCCGGGAGGCAGCGGCCGAAGUUGCGGAGUGCGCCCCGCCCCUCGCGCCCGCCGCCGCCGCCGCUCCCGCCGCUCCCGCCGCUCCCCUGCGGCAAACCGCGCCGCGUCCCCGCCGCCGCCGCCGCCGCCGCCGCCGCCCGAGCCCCCGGAGCUCCCGGGACGGGCUUCCCCCGCGGGGCCGGGCCGGGCCGCCGCGUCCCCCGCACCUCCCCGCCGCGCAGGGGGCGGUGCUCCACGCGCCUCCCGGGAUCCCGCUCGCUCGCUCGCUCGCUCGCUCGCUGUCCGGGACCUCGGCGCGGCUGGAGGCGCGGGCCCCUCCGACAGACCGAGCCUCGGCACGGAAGCGGCGGCGCUCGGAUGGGGGAGGACUGGGGGGGCCCACCGACAUUCGGACUCACUGCGAAAUGAAGAACCUGGAGAGGAUUUUUUGUUUUUCGAUUUAAAAAAACCUUUUCGAGCACUACACCAAGCAGCAAAUACUUCCGUUUCCUAUUUUGACCACUUAUGGGUGAAAGCGAAGAUGGAAAAGGAGAAGGAGCCGAAUGGGGAGGGGCGGGAGCUCAGAAGACUUAAGCAGGGAGGGGAUGGGAUGCCCUCAGGUCUUGACACCCAGGAAGAGCUCCAGGCUCUGGGGAAAGGACUUAAACGCAUUCUAACCCUCCAGCGUCUAGAAAGAGACCCCGGCUGCUUUUAUAUUCCGGCUUCAAAGCCUAAUAUACUGAAAUGA
rnacentral:lncRNA from 1 species